CGCGGCCUAUCAGCUUGUUGGUGGGGUAACGGCCUACCAAGGCGAUUACGGGUAGCCGGCCUGAGAGGGCGACCGGCCACACUGGGACUGAGACACGGCCCAGACUCCUGCGGGAGGCAGCAGUGGGGAAUAUUGCACAAUGGGCGAAAGCCUGAUGCAGCGACGCCGCGUGGGGGAUGACGGCCUUCGGGUUGUAAACCUCUUUUACCACCAACGCAGGCUCCACGUUUUCGUGGGGUUGACGGUAGGUGGGGAAUAAGGACCGGCUAACUACGUGCCAGCAGCCGCGGUAAUACGUAGGGUCCGAGCGUUGUCCGGAAUUAUUGGGCGUAAAGAGCUCGUAGGCGGCAUGUCGCGUCUGCUGUGAAAGGCCGGGGCUUAACUCCGGUUCUGCAGUGGAUACGGGCAUGCUAGAGGUAGGUAGGGGAAACUGGAAUUCCUGGUGUAGCGGUGAAAUGCGCAGAUAUCAGGAGGAACACCGGUGGCGAAGGCGGGUUUCUGGGCCUUACCUGACGCUGAGGAGCGAAAGCAUGGGGAGCGAACAGGAUUAGAUACCCUGGUAGUCCAUGCCGUAAACGUUGGGCGCUAGGUGUGGGGACUUUCCACGGUUUCCGCGCCGUAGCUAACGCAUUAAGCGCCCCGCCUGGGGAGUACGG
rnacentral:rRNA from 1 species